CACAUUUGGGGAAAUCUGUUGAGCUUGAUCGGUGGACUAAUAUAAAGGGGAGCGAUCCUGCCAACUGGCAUACUAAUUUGUAAGGGAGUUAGAGAAAAGUCAUUGUUCCGCCAUGCUGGAAGGACAGGAGACACUGGAUUUAAUUAGGCCACAACUUUAUCCUUAAAUAUCUGGGAAUAACCAGCAGAUGAAACUGUACAGUGCAAGUAACUGCAUAAUCAUUUCAAUAUAUUCCCAAGGAGCUUCUGUCAGCCCUCUCCCUUACCCAUCUGGUCCCAACCAACCUGCUGCUGGGACCUCACCAUCCCCUCUCUUGAAUGAGGGUUUGUGGGGGGAGGGGAGUUUGGCUCCCUGCCAUACCAGUCGUAAGAGUCCUAAGCCCCCCUCAUCCCAUCCCCUGGUUUCUUUUCUUUUAAAGAAUACAUCCUUUACCAAUCCAUUUUCUCUGAUUGCUGCAUCCCUUCCCUAUAGAGUACCUGAACUGGACAUCUGUCCCACAUUUACAUAAUGAGUUUCAAAGUCAUAGCCUAACUCCCAUUUCAAGUUUGCCCAAAUGAAGGCCCCCAACCUGCUGAAGGGAAGGCCAAAAAAACAAACAAACAAACAAAAAACCACUUUGCCUUGGCCAAUCUUGUGGUAAGGGAAAAAUUCCUCCCCAGUCCCCCUAGAAAGGAGCAGCUAGCACAGUGUUGCCCACAGCAGAUCCUUACAGAACCCGGUAUUUCACUACAUCCAUGGGUUGAAGGAUUGGUGCUGCUCCACUUGGUCCAAGUAAAAGACUUUUCAUGCACCGGCACUACCUAUAUAAUCUCUCACUCCUUUUCUGAUCACCUGCAGGAGGGACACACUUUUUCCAGCAAGCCAGAUAACAGCCCACACUGCGAUGAGUCCCGUGAGAGAAAAUGGGACUCCUUCAUCUGACUACAUUGGUAGAACCAGACUGCACAGAGGAAUUAAACGGAACAACACUGCUGCUUAAAAGAGAAAAAAGGAGGUCUUUCUGCCUCCCUUGUGUGUUUCUUCUAUUUCUGUCAGCCCAGUGUGGAAUUGUUUGGUUGCUGAUGGCACACAGUGAAACUAGAAAAUUGUGGAAUUUCAGGGAGAGUGAGCUCAAUGUGUUCUAUAACUGCUUGCGUGUUUCAGAAAAAGGACGACAAAAAUGUCAGAACAUUAAUCAUUCUCAGCAGAGGGAGCUCUGGGAUGCACUUCCAUGCAUAUAUCGUAAUUAAAGGUAACUAAGCAGGAAGAUCUUCACCAUUAGACAAGAGGCCAUAACAAGGGGAAAUUUGCAAACCAG